AUUGAACGCUGGCGGCAGGCCUAACACAUGCAAGUCGAGCGGAUGAGGGGAGCUUGCUCCCUGAUUUAGCGGCGGACGGGUGAGUAAUGCCUAGGAAUCUGCCUGGUAGUGGGGGAUAACGUUCCGAAAGGAACGCUAAUACCGCAUACGUCCUACGGGAGAAAGCAUGGGACCUUCGGGCCUUGUGCUAUCAGAUGAGCCUAGGUCGGAUUAGCUAGUUGGUGAGGUAAUGGCUCACCAAGGCGACGAUCCGUAACUGGUCUGAGAGGAUGAUCAGUCACACUGGAACUGAGACACGGUCCAGACUCCUACGGGAGGCAGCAGUGGGGAAUAUUGGACAAUGGGCGAAAGCCUGAUCCAGCCAUGCCGCGUGUGUGAAGAAGGUCUUCGGAUUGUAAAGCACUUUAAGUUGGGAGGAAGGGCUGCUGGUUAAUACCCUGCAGUUUUGACGUUACCAACAGAAUAAGCACCGGCUAACUUCGUG
rnacentral:rRNA from 1 species